UACGUAGGGUGCGAGCGUUAAUCGGAAUCACUGGGCGUAAAGCGCACGUAGGCGGCUUUUUAAGUCAGGGGUGAAAUCCUGGAGCUCAACUCCAGAACUGCCUUUGAUACUGAGAAGCUUGAGUCCGGGAGAGGUGAGUGGAACUGCGAGUGUAGAGGUGAAAUUCGUAGAUAUUCGCAAGAACACCAGUGGCGAAGGCGGCUCACUGGCCCGAUACUGACGCUGAGGCACGAAAGCGUGGGGAGCAAACAGG
rnacentral:rRNA from 1 species